UGGGAGGGUGGGUGGGAGCAGGCAUCUUGCAUGGGAUCUCAGCGAUCUCAGAAACCUCUGGGAAUUUGCUUUUCAUGUGGCAAACAACCUACCAGGAAAAACUCGCUUUGGAGCCAGCCCUGGCUGAAAAACGAAGUUAAAUGAAACUCUCUCCCUCUGCAGCAUUUGGCUAAAGCCCUGGUACCGCUUGCUGAGCUCACCUGACCCCGGCCACCGCUGAAAGACAAAUAGGAACACAUGGAGAAGCGUGACUUUCGGGGCAUGAAUAUGGGGAAACUGAGGUACUGAGAGGUCAGUCACCCAGAAGGUGGUUGACACAGCCUCCACUCUGCAUGUGGGGACACUGGCAGAUACUUGACUAGCUUGGAAGCAGGCCCGUCUGGGCUGGAUGACAGACUGUGGGCCUGCCAAGAGUCUCUUCACAUGAAGAAACCACAGCAUCUCCUGGGAAGGAAAGAUACCUUCACUUUUGGGAAGAGUAGGAAUAGUUCCUGCCCCCUACCACCUGCCACCCUGCCCAAGGACAAGGUCCCAGACGGAGGAAAGAAAGGUGGAUGUGGAUACAGGAUGGAGAUUCUAUUUUCAACCCACUGCCCCUGAAUAUAUAUAGAGAGGAAGUGGAAAUGAACGCUCAGGAGAUGAAGAUGCUUACCCAGUGUCCUGUAUCUAGUGAUAGACGACUCUGGACUCUAACCUGGAUGUUCUUACUUUGAUAUCAACUGUUGGACACAGACCUCCAGAGACUUCAUGCAAUGUGCGGUCCUCAGUACUUCUAGAAGACUCACUACCUGGCAUAUGUAGACUAAUCUGGUCUCCUUUAGAGAAUAAUGAUAUAAUUGAGGCAUGGAUGAAGAUAUGUUCAAGAAAUCUCAACAUGGAGGAAAGAAUUAUUAUUGAAUGAGGAGAGUAUUAUAGAAGACUCUGGGAAUACUAGGAAGGAAGAAGGGAAAUGAUGACCUAGAAGCUUGGAAUUUAACCCCAGAAAAUGACAAGGGUAUGACGGAAUUGGUUGUGACCAGAGAUUCAUGCCCUGCUGGCUCUGGGAAGGAAUAAGCAUCAAUAGUGGGAAAGCAUCAGGCUUCUGCACCAAACUCACUCCUGCCCCCAUGUGGCCCUUCCCCUACUGCUCCUGAUGGCUGGGAGAGGUCAAUAGGGACAGUACUUCUUGGCUGGACCUCCUACAGGCCAGAUGUUCAACUAUUCAGAAUGCCUUGCAAGUGAAGACAUUACCAUUCUCUCCCUCCAGAUGAACAAACAGAAGCUCUCAGAUCCUAAUCAGCUUACUCAAGACCAUGUUGUUUGACUUCAACUGAUAAACAAUCAGUUUGAAGUCAAACAAAUGUUUAUCAUUGCAUUUCUUAAUACAUGAUGUAUAUAAAAUUAUGGACAAUUGUUUAUCAUUAUAUUCCUUGAUACAUUAUGUGUGUGAAAUGAUAGAUAAUUCUUGAGGUCUUGUUUUUGUGAGGCAAGUUUUGUCUAAAAGGUCUACGCAGUAUUAGUUGUUCAUAUGGUAUUUGAUAGAAGGAAAUAACUGAAGUUGACCUGAUCCUGGAUCCAGAGACUCUCUAAGGGAUCCCUUGAGCCAUCCAAGUCCAGUAGGACACAGUCUAGUGGGACAACCACGACUCAAGUCCUGACAUUGCGUUUUACCAAACAAGUGAGCUUGGGCAAGAUUUUAUGAGAUUAGCCACAUUUCUCAGGCUCAGCUUUCCUUAUCUGUUGAAUGGAGAACAGGUGAUAACCUCCUGACACAAUUUCUAUGAAAAGGAAAUGAGGUUAUGUAAGAAAGCACUUAGCCCCUGUUUAGGUAUUCCAAUCUUUCCCCUAUCUUAGUACGUAGGUACUUAUCCUGCAGCUGUGAAUAACUAAAGGAGAGGGGAUGAGAAGAGAAGCAUGGCCUGGUGCAUGGGACACAAGGAGUGAGAUUGGGAUGGAUGUCUUCUCAGCACACUGUACUCUUAACUCCCUGGACUUUAGAAUAGGUCCCUUAACUCAGCUCUGAGGGUAAAUCAUAAAACUGUGAAGAAACAUAAUUAAGAGGUGAUAUCUCCCUCUGCCCCUGCCCCAUGAGAAUUAGAUUUCAGAGAAAAAUAAAUAAAUUCUGUAAUGUAGAGAACAUAAUCCUCAAGUUCUGAUUCUAUAGCUAUUUUUAAAAAAAUAAUAAUAAUCACUAUCACUGUAUCACUGUCAUCCCGUUGCUCCUCGAUUUGCUCAAGUGGGCACCAGUAAUGCCUCCAUUGUGAGACUUUGUUGUUACUGUUUUUGGCAUAUCUAAUACACCAUGGGAAGCUUGCCAGGCUGUGCCGUGUGGGCAAAAUACUCUCAGUAGCUUGCCAGGCUCUCCAAGAGGGGCGGAGGAAUUGAACCCAGAUCAUCUGUGUGCAAGGCAAACUCCCUACCCGCUGUGCUAUUGCACCAGCCCAAUAAUAUUAAUAAUAAUAAUAAUUUCUACAACAACAAUAAUAAUUUAUUGGAGGACCUUCUUGUGACAGAUUGAGGUAAUCAGGUAGUUUUUCUUUUUUCUUUUUAAAUAUAUUUAUUGAAUCACUGUGAGAGCAGUUACAAAGCUUUCAGGUUUAAGUCUCAGUCAUACAGUGAUGAAACACCUUUCCCUUCACCAGUGCACAUUUUCCACCACCAAACCCCCCAGUAUAAGCCCUAUCCUACAUCCUCCCCCUACCUGUGCCGCAGACGAUUUUCACAUUACUCUCUACUUUAAUUACAUUCAAUAUUUUGACACCGGACCCACCAUUGUUAUGUGAUAUUUUCCCCCAACACUUAGAUCUGCCUAAAAGGCAACAUUAGACACUUUGUUUUCUAUUGCUGAUUGUGAAUAGCACAUGAUGUUGCAUGGCCGCAGUAGCAGCCGCACAAUUUUGGAGUUCUGGAAUUUUAAUAAUUAAGUCUGGAGGGAUUUCUGUCAAAAGAUGCUGGGUUCUGAGAUUUGUGUCUGAGUCUAUAGGAUCAUGGCCAUUCAGCAACUGGAUCAGGAGCCAGAGAGUGAUUCUAUAGCUUUUGGACAGUAAGCAAUUUUGUGUUGAACCUAACUUUAUUCUAACAUUCUUUCUCCAGUCCCUAUAUGAUUCAAUUCAUAUCACUCUCCUUAGUACCAGUUUACUAUCCUUCCUAACUAAUUGAAUACACUUUCAAAUAUGGUAUCUCAACAUUUAUGAGUUUUAUUUCUACUUCUCAAAAAGUGUGCUUUGCCGGUUGAUAGUUCAGGGAACCAGAGUGCAUGUUUUGUUUUCAGAAGCUCUUGGUUUGAUCCCUGGCACAGCAUGGCUAUCUGAGCACCAUUGACACCUGAAUGACAUCAGGUAUGGUCCCAAAGCUAAAUAAAAUUACAAGUAUUCUUUGACAAGUACAGGAAUGCUAAUAGUUCCUAAAUACAAAGAUGAUAAUUUUAGAUAAAAUAUAACCAAAGAAGAAGGAGAAGGAGAAGGAGAAGGAGAAGGAGAAGGAGAAGGAGAAGGAGAAGGAGAAGGAGAAGUCAGUUCUCAAGAAUUCAAGAAGAAGAAGGAGGAGGAGGAAGAGAAAAAGAAAAGCGGCAAAGGGAAUAGCUGCAAAAAUAUUCUAUGAGAGCUAUUGUAUGCACUUUCAUUCUGCAAAUGUUUAUGAAGCAUGAGCCCUGUGCCAAAACCUUACGAAGAACAAGCCAUGUGCCAAAAACAAUACAAAGAACCAGAAGGACUGCGGAGGUCUCUUGUUUUCCAUUAAGCUGAGUGAACCUAGAACCUAGAAGAGCAGAGGAGAUCAGAGGUUGAGAGAAGCAGAAGUGCUAGAAGUGGAAAGGAAAAGCAGUAUUUGGAUGUGUUGUGAUCACCAGGAGGCUUGUUCAAAGAUCCGUCCAUACAGUUUCUGAGGCCAGAGGUCUGGAGUGGAGUCCAGAAAUUUGCAUUUCUAAAAGCUCCCUGAGGUACUGAGGCUGCUGCAUCGAGGUCCACACUCGAUGCACGGUCAUGGAGGCUACGACUCUGACUUCAGUGAUGAUGAACAUUGUGGAGAAUCUAGCAAAAAGAGAAAAAGGACUGUGGAAGAUGAUUUACUGCUCAAAAAGCCAUUUCAGAAAGAAAAACAUGGAAAAGUGGCCCAUAAACAAGUUGCAGCAGAACUGCUGGACAGGGAAGAAGCAAGAAAUAGAAGAUUUCAUCUCAUAGCUAUGGAUGCCUAUCAAAGACAUACAAAAUUUGUAAAUGACUAUAUUUUAUACUAUGGCGGCAAAAAAGACGACUUCAGGAGAUUAGGGGAAAAUGAUAAGACUGAUAUGGACGUUAUACGAGAAAAUCAUAGAUUUCUAUGGAAUGAGGAGGAUGAAAUGGAUAUGAAUUGGGAGAAGAGACUUGCAAAGAAAUACUAUGAUAAAUUAUUCAAAGAAUACUGCAUAGCAGAUCUCAGUAGAUACAAAGAAAAUAAGUUUGGAUUUAGGUGGCGCAUAGAAAAAGAAGUAAUUUCAGGAAAAGGCCAGUUUUUCUGUGGAAAUAAAAGUUGUGAUAAAAAAGAAGGCUUGAAGAGUUGGGAAGUUAAUUUUGGUUAUAUUGAGCAAGGUGAAAAGAGAAAUGCACUUGUUAAAUUAAGAGGAAAGAAGUCAAAUCAAAGAAAAGAAAAGAUAAAAGCAAAAAACGUUGUGAAGAAUCAUCACAUAAAAAGUCCAGAUUGUCUUCUACAGAAGAGCACUCCAAGAAGAAGGAUAAAGGACAUUCAUCUUCAAAGGAACCAGAAAGUUCUGUAAAUGGAAACUCAGAUGAGGAAGAAAGUACUUCAGAAUCUGAACUUUGGAAAGGCCCAUUACCAGAGACAGAUGAAAAAUCACAGGAAGAAGAAUUUGAUGACUAUUUUCAAGAUUUAUUUCUGUGAGAUGGAGAAAGAAACU